rnacentral:rRNA from 1 species
CCGGGACCAUCCGGUAAGGCUAAAUACUCCUGAGAGACCGAUAGUGAACUAGUACCGUGAGGGAAAGGUGAAAAGAACCGUGAAUAACGGAGUGAAAUAGAUCCUGAAACCAUACGCUUACAAGCGGUCGGAGCCCUUCGGGGUGACGGCGUGCCUUUUGCAUAAUGAGCCUACGAGUUACCGUUUCUAGCAAGGUUAAGCACUUCAGGUGCGGAUCCGUAGCGAAAGCGAGUCUGAAUAGGGCGUAUAGUUAGUGGCGGUAGACGCGAAACCGUGUGAUCUACCCAUGGGCAGGUUGAAGCUGUAGUAACAUACAGUGGAGGACCGAACCCGUUGACGUUGAAAAGUCUUGGGAUGACCUGUGGGUAGGGGUGAAAGGCCAAUCAAACUCGGAAAUAGCUCGUACUCCCCGAAAUGCAUUUAGGUGCAGCGUAUUAUUAGUUUUAUAGAGGUAGAGCUACUGAUUGGAUGCGGGGGCUUCACCGCCUACCAAUUCCUGACAAACUCCGAAUGCUAUAAAAUGAUGUAAUGCAGUGAGGGCAUGGGUGCUAAGGUCCAUGUCCGAGAGGGAAAGAACCCAGACCAUCAGCUAAGGUCCCCAAAUAUAUGUUAAGUUGAAUAAACGAGGUGAAACUGCUUAGACAGCUAGGAUGUUGGCUUGGAAGCAGCCAUUCAUUUAAAGAGUGCGUAACAGCUCACUAGUCGAGCGGUUUUGCAUGGAUAAUAAUCGGGCAUAAACAUAUUACCGAAGCUAUGGAUUUGUAUUAUAUACAAGUGGUAGGGGAGCAUUGUAACCUGCGUAGAAGGUGUGCUGUAAGGCAUGCUGGAGUGGUUACAAAAGAAAAUGUAGGCAUAAGUAACGAUAAAGGGGGCGAGAAACCCCCUCACCGAAAGACUAAGGUUUCCUCAGCGAUGCUAAUCAGCUGAGGGUUAGUCGGGUCCUAAGGCGAAUCCGAAGGGAGUAGUCGAUGGAUAACAGGUUAAUAUUCCUGUACUUCUUAUAAUUGCGAUGGGGUGACGGAGUAUUGAAAGCACCGCGAACUGACGGAAUAGUUCGUUAAAGUAUGUAGCUAUAGAACCAGAUUAAGAGUUAGGUUUUGGCAAAGUACGAUAGUACCACAAAGCUUCGGCAGCGUGGAUAGUGUGCCUAAAAGCUUCCAAGAAAAACCUCUAAGCUUCAGAUUAUAAGAACCCGUACCGUAAACCGACACAGGUAGUUGGGAUGAGAAUUCUAAGGUGCUCGAGAGAUUCAUGGCUAAGGAACUAGGCAAAAUCGACCCGUAACUUCGGGAGAAGGGUCGCCCAUCUUCGGAUGGGCCGCAGUGAAGAGGUCCAGGCGACUGUUUAUCAAAAACACAGGGCUCUGCUAAAUCGAAAGAUGAUGUAUAGGGCCUGACACCUGCCCGGUGCUGGAAGGUUAAGUGGAGGGGUUAGCUUCGGCGAAGCUCUGAAAUGAAGCCCCAGUAAACGGCGGCCGUAACUAUAACGGUCCUAAGGUAGCGAAAUUCCUUGUCGGGUAAGUUCCGACCUGCACGAAUGGUGCAACGAUCUGGACACUGUCUCAGCCAUGAGCUCGGUGAAAUUGUAGUAUCGGUGAAGAUGCCGAUUACCCGCUGUGGGACGAAAAGACCCCGUGCACCUUUACUAUAGCUUAGUAUUGGUUUUGGAUAAGUAAUGUGUAGGAUAGGUGGGAGACUUUGAAGUGGCGUCGCUAGGCGUUGUGGAGUCAUUGUUGAAAUACCACCCUUUGCUUAUCUAGAGUCUAACUUUCCUUGAAAGGACAGUGCUUGGUGGGUAGUUUGACUGGGGUGGUCGCCUCCAAAAGAGUAACGGAGGCUUCUAAAGGUGCCCUCAGCACGCUUGGUAACCGUGCGUAGAGUGCAAUGGCAUAAGGGCGCUUGACUGAGAGACAUACAGGUCGAUCAGGUACGAAAGUAGAGCAUAGUGAUCCGGUGGUUCCGUAUGGAAGGGCCAUCGCUCAAAGGAUAAAAGGUACGCCGGGGAUAACAGGCUGAUCUCCCCCAAGAGCUCACAUCGACGGGGGGGUUUGGCACCUCGAUGUCGGCUCGUCACAUCCUGGGGCUGGAGAAGGUCCCAAGGGUUGGGCUGUUCGCCCAUUAAAGUGGCACGCGAGCUGGGUUCAGAACGUCG